UUCCGGUUGAUCCUGCCAGACCUGACUGCUAUCGGAUUGAUACUAAGCCAUGCGAGUCAUUGUAGCAAUACAAGGCAUACGGCUCAGUAACGCGUAGUCAACCUAACCUAUGGACGGGAAUAACCUCGGGAAACUGAGAAUAAUGCCCGAUAGAACACUAUACCUGGAAUGGUUUGUGUUCCAAAUGAUUUAUCGCCAUAGGAUGGGACUGCGGCCUAUCAGUUUGUUGGUGAGGUAAUGGCCCACCAAGACUAUUACAGGUACGGGCUCUGAGAGGAGUAGCCCGGAGAUGGGUACUGAGACACGGACCCAGGCCCUAUGGGGCGCAGCAGGCGAGAAAACUUUGCAAUGUGCGAAAGCACGACAAGGUUAAUCCGAGUGAUUUGUGCUAAACGAAUCUUUUGUUAGUCCUAGAAACACUAACGAAUAAGGGGUGGGCAAGUUCUGGUGUCAGCCGCCGCGGUAAAACCAGCACCUCAAGUGGUCAGGAUGAUUAUUGGGCCUAAAGCAUCCGUAGCCGGCUCUGUAAGUUUUCGGUUAAAUCUGUACGCUUAACGUACAGGCUGCCGGGAAUACUGCAAAGCUAGGGAGUGGGAGAGGUAGACGGCACUCGGUAGGAAGUGGUAAAAUGCUUUGAUCUAUCGAUGACCACCUGUGGCGAAGGCGGUCUACCAGAACACGUCCGACGGUGAGGGAUGAAAGCUGGGGGAGCAAACCGGAUUAGAUACCCGGGUAGUCCCAGCUGUAAACUAUGCAAACUCAGUGAUGCAUUGGCUUGUGGCCAAUGCAGUGCUGCAGGGAAGCCGUUAAGUUUGCCGCCUGGGAAGUACGUACGCAAGUAUGAAACUUAAAGGAAUUGGCGGGGGAGCACCACAAGGGGUGAAGCCUGCGGUUCAAUUGGAUUCAACGCCGGA
rnacentral:rRNA from 1 species